UGGGGAAUAUUGCACAAUGGGGGAAACCCUGAUGCAGCAACGCCGCGUGAGUGAAGAAGUAUUUCGGUAUGUAAAGCUCUAUCAGCAGGGAAGAAAAUGACGGUACCUGACUAAGAAGCCCCGGCUAACUACGUGCCAGCAGCCGCGGUAAUACGUAGGGGGCAAGCGUUAUCCGGAUUUACUGGGUGUAAAGGGAGCGUAGGCGGUUUGGCAAGUCAGAAGUGAAAGCCCAAGGCUUAACCAUGGGACUGCUUUUGAAACUGUCAGACUGGAUUGCAGGAGAGGUAAGUGGAAUUCCUGGUGUAGCGGUGAAAUGCGUAGAUAUCAGGAGGAACACCGGUGGCGAAGGCGGCUUACUGGACUGUAAAUGACGCUGAGGCUCGAAAGCGUGGGGAGCAAACAGG
rnacentral:rRNA from 1 species